rnacentral:rRNA from 1 species
UACAGAGGUGGCAAGCGUUGUUCGGAAUUACUGGGCGUAAAGGGCGCGUAGGCGGCCUUCUAAGUCAGACGUGAAAUCCCCCGGCUUAACCUGGGAACUGCGUCUGAUACUGGGAGGCUAGAGUAUGGGAGAGGGAUGUAGAAUUCCAGGUGUAGCGGUGAAAUGCGUAGAUAUCUGGAGGAACACCGGUGGCGAAGGCGACAUCCUGGACCGGUAUUGACGCUGAGGCGCGAAAGCCAGGGGAGCAAACGGG